rnacentral:rRNA from 1 species
GACGAACGCUGGCGGCGCGCUUAACACAUGCAAGUCGAACGGAAAGGCCUGCUUUCCCUUGUGGAUUGCGGGUACUCGAGUGGCGAACGGGUGAGUAACACGUGAGUGAUCUGCCCCCAACUUGGGUAUAAGCCUGGGAAACUGGGUCUAAUUCCCGAUAGGACUGCAGGGUGGUGCCUGUGGUGGAAAACGAUUUUCUAGUGGUUGGGGAUGAGCUCGCGGCCUAUCAGCUUGUUGGUGGGGUAAUGGCCUACCAAGGCGGCGACGGGUAGCCGGCCUGGGAGGGUGGACGGCCACAUUGGGACUGAGAUACGGCCCAGACUCCUACGGGAGGCAGCAGUGGGGAAUAUUGCACAAUGGGCGGAAGCCUGAGGCAGCGACGCAGCGUGGGGGAUGACGGCCUUCGGGUUGUAAACUCCUUUCGACCGCGAGGAAGCCACCUGGUUGGAAGGGUGGUGACGGUAGUGGUAGAAGAAGCACCGGCUAACUACGUG